rnacentral:rRNA from 1 species
CCCUUAGAUGUUCUGGGCCGCACGCGCGCUACACUGAUGCAUUCAACGAGCCUAUCCUUGACCGACAGGUCCGGGUAAUCUUUGAAUCUGCAUCGUGACGGGGAUAGAUUAUUGCAAUUAUUAAUCUUCAACGAGGAAUGCCUAGUAGGCGCAAGUCAUCAGCUUGCGUCGAUUACGUCCCUGCCCUUUGUACACACCGCCCGUCGCUCCUACCGAUUGGGUGUGCUGGUGAAAUGUUCGGAUCGGCCGUUUGUCGCGGUUUCCGCGGCUCGUGGCUGAGAAGUUCAUUAAACCCUCACACCUAGAGGAAGGAGAAGUCGUAACA